rnacentral:rRNA from 1 species
UACGCAGGCGGCUUGGUAAGACAGAUGUGAAAUCCCCGGGCCUAACCUGGGAACUGCAUUUGUGGCUGCCAUGGCUCGAGUCUGUCAGAGGGGGGUGGAAUUCCACGUGUAGCAGUGAAAUGCGUAGAGAUGUGGAGGAACACCGAUGGCGAAGGCAGCCCCCUGGGAUGAGACUGACGCUCAUGUACGAAAGCGUGGGGAGCAAACAGGAUUAGAUACCCUGGUAGUCCACGCCCUAAACGAUGUCGACUAGUUGUCGGGAAUUCAUUUUCUCGGUAACGCAGCUAACGCGUGAAGUCGACCGCCUGGGGAGUACGGUCGCAAGAUUAAA